rnacentral:rRNA from 1 species
GACGAACGCUGGCGGCGUGCCUAAUACAUGCAAGUAGAACGCUGAAGCUUGGUGCUUGCACCGAGCGGAUGAGUUGCGAACGGGUGAGUAACGCGUAGGUAACCUGCCUGGUAGCGGGGGAUAACUAUUGGAAACGAUAGCUAAUACCGCAUAAAAUGGAUUAUCGCAUGAUAAUCCAUUGAAAGGUGCAAAUGCAUCACUACCAGAUGGACCUGCGUUGUAUUAGCUAGUUAGUGGGGUAACGGCUCACCAAGGCGACGAUACAUAGCCGACCUGAGAGGGUGAUCGGCCACACUGGGACUGAGACACGGCCCAGACUCCUACGGGAGGCAGCAGUAGGGAAUCUUCGGCAAUGGACGGAAGUCUGACCGAGCAACGCCGCGUGAGUGAAGAAGGUUUUCGGAUCGUAAAGCUCUGUUGUAAGAGAAGAACGAGUGUGAGAGUGGAAAGUUCACACUGUGACGGUAUCUUACCAGAAAGGGACGGCUAACUACGUGCCAGCAGCCGCGGUAAUACGUAGGUCCCGAGCGUUGUCCGGAUUUAUUGGGCGUAAAGCGAGCGCAGGCGGUUAGAUAAGUCUGAAGUUAAAGGCUGUGGCUUAACCAUAGUACGCUUUGGAAACUGUUUAACUUGAGUGCAAGAGGGGAGAGUGGAAUUCCAUGUGUAGCGGUGAAAUGCGUAGAUAUAUGGAGGAACACCGGUGGCGAAAGCGGCUCUCUGGCUUGUAACUGACGCUGAGGCUCGAAAGCGUGGGGAGCAAACAGG